CCAUAGCGCGCUGCACCUUAAGCGCUGGACCUCCCUUCAACACUCCGUCGCGCCCUACCUCUCUGCCCAACCCCACGACCACCUGUACCCUCCGAACAAUGUCGGAACGUCUCCUCAUGGCCGGUGCGGCGGAAUCGGUGUUCACCCGGGGGUGGAGCUCGCGGCAUGGCCGCCAUUGCCGCUGGGCAUAGAAAUUGGACCUC
rnacentral:lncRNA from 7 species